UCAUCUGAGCAACAUUUGCGUUGUUUAUUGAUCGAUAUGGAUGCAAAGAAAUAUAAACAGUGGAGGAAAAGUGACCAUGCGGAAGAUUUUGAUAGAUGUGCAAUAUGUGUCUGUUCCCUCCGACUCUGAAAGUUUGCCGAAAGUUUGAGAUGAUCAUGAUUCCAAAAACAAUGCGAGAAAACUUCAGAUCAGGUGUCAGAUCUACGAUGGAAAUGUGAAACAUUAGCUGAGUUUUCACCAUGCCUGCAAGAAUUUCUGAAAGGAUUGGAAGAUUUGUGGUGCACAUACUAUAAAAUGUGACUGACACUGUGCAUUAUUUUUGUUGAGAAAAGUCUGCCAUGUUAACCUCUAAUCUCCAAAAUACUGUAUACAUUGCCAUUGUGUGGGAAAUGAAAACACAGUAUCCUCUAUUUCCUGUAUCAGUGGUCUACAUCUGGUUCAAGAAGAAAGUAGAAAAGCUGAGUCAGAAAAGACAGCAUUUCUUCCUAUGAAAAAAAAGGAACAUAAAGAUAUAAUGAUCUUCACUUUGCAGCAGUAAAAAAUAUGUAUGCCCUCAUUGUCCUGAAAUUUUGAAUGUGUUUUCAUUAGCUGUCUCUGAUUUACAUGAAAAAAAAAUCAUCACACCGGUGUCAGCAGCCAUUAUGGUCCUGAAUUUUAUAAUAUUAAAUAAGUAAUGAUAAACAUAAUUCAUAGAACUUUUUAUUACAAUUAUAUAUUUCAAAAAAAAAUGCGAAUUGAAUACUUUCUUUUAUUGCAUACUUGUCUCUCCAGUUCCCAUUUGACACGUGUGAUGAUUGUAGAAUGUAUUCUAAACAAUGAAUGUUCAUUGAUGCAAGUCUGUUUUAGUACAAAUUGGAGUUUCAUGAAAAUAAACAACUUUAACUUUU